GGGGAUUCCUUGGCUUGCUGACAGGAGAGGAAGAAAGCAGCAGCAGUGAGGUAAAACACGAUUACUUCCAACUGCCUGGCGGAGGACACGCAGUCGCUUGGCUUGCCUGGAACAGCUUGCAGCUCUGUGAUGGCACGCGGAGGGAGAAUAAUUAAAAAGGCCAGCAUCACUUACUAAGAAGCUGCUGCAAUGCUACGGAAAAAUGCUGGGAAAAGGAGGCUGAGGAAAUUCAGUUUUCUGAUGACUGGGUGCUAGGCAAAAUGUGCCAGAUACCUCAGUACAUUGCAAGUUUCCUGAGCAGGAGACAUGCACCCUGCAGAAGUGUGCCUUGGAGACUCAAAGGAGGAGAGAUUAAGCCAAUUAACUCUUCAUUGCAAGUAAGUAGGAAAAAGAAAAAUAAAGAUAGAAAUCCCCAGAAAAGAGAGAUCCUGCCUUUAGUUUUGAAAAAAGCUUUUCCACGGCAUCUGAAAUAACUUCAACCGGAAAAGUCAUAUCCAAUUGAACUGAUGAGCCACAAAAGCUGAUAUAAGAGGUAACUUCAUCAGAAGAUCCUCCUUGGGAAAGAUCUGGAACUGUAUUUAAUCU